UCCCAGUAGACCAGCACAUGCCUCUGCCAUUUCCCCUGCAACUGCUCCUGCCCCCUCUGCUGCUCCUGCCUCCUCGGCUGCUCCUGGCACCCCGCGGCCCACCAUGAACUUAUCAAUGUUUACUAAAUCACGGUUUGGAGGUUCGCAAGGUGCCACAGCUAAGCCAAACGUGAAUGUGGUCAGGAAAGCUGUUCAAGUAAAUAUGCUGAGCUUUCUAGUGAAUAUGAGUCUCACAGAGACUAUUGUUAAUUACUGUUAUCAACACAUUACACAAUAUCAUUGUGCUAUUUUCCUUUCUCCCAGCCCCCUUCCAGCCAUGCUACGGCCUCUGUGAGGACCACCUCCCCUUUCUCCCAGCCCCCUUCCAGCCCUGCUACGGCCUCUGUGAGGACCACCUCCCCUUUCUCCCAGC
ensembl:lncRNA